CCGCGCCGUGAUGAGCUCCUUCGGCUGUUGAGUCUCACGACCCUGAGAGCCGCCCACAUGCACUACCAACUGAGCGCGG